GAUGAACGCUAGCGAUAGGCUUAACACAUGCAAGUCGAGGGGCAUCGAGGGUAGCAAUACCUGUCGGCGACCGGCGCACGGGUGAGUAACGCGUAUGUAACCUGCCCGCAACAGAGGGAUAACCCGGCGAAAGUCGGACUAAUACCUCAUAAAACAGGGGUUCCGCAUGGGACUAUUUGUUAAAGAUUUAUUGGUUGCGGAUGGGCAUGCGUACCAUUAGGUAGUUGGUGAGGUAACGGCUCACCAAGCCAUCGAUGGUUAGGGGUUCUGAGAGGAAGGUCCCCCACACUGGUACUGAGACACGGACCAGACUCCUACGGGAGGCAGCAGUGAGGAAUAUUGGUCAAUGGGCGAGAGCCUAAACCAGCCAAGUCGCGUGAAGGAUGACUGCCCUAUGGGUUGUAAACUUCUUUU
rnacentral:rRNA from 1 species